rnacentral:rRNA from 1 species
AUUGAACGCUGGCGGUAGGCCUAACACAUGCAAGUCGAACGCGAAAGUCCUUCGGGAUGAGUAGAGUGGCGGACGGGUGAGUAACGCGUAGGAAUCUAUCCUGUAGUGGGGGAUAACGUUUCGAAAGGAACGCUAAUACCGCAUACGCCCCAAGGGGGAAAGCGGGGGAUCUUCGGACCUCGUGCUAUAGGAGGAGCCUGCGUCGGAUUAGCUAAUUGGUGAGGUAAAGGCUCACCAAGGCGACGAUCCGUAGCUGGUGUGAGAGGGUGAUCAGCCACACCGGAACUGAGACACGGUCCGGACUCCUACGGGAGGCAGCAGUGGGGAAUAUUGCGCAAGGGGCGAAAGCCUGACGCAGCCAUACCGCGUGUGUGAAGAAGGCCUUCGGGUUGUAAAGCACUUUCAGUGGGGAGGAAAAGCUGGUGGCUAAUAUCCAUCGGCCGUGACGCUACCCACAGAAGAAGCACCGGCUAAUUCCGUGCCAGCCGCCGCAGUAACAC